CGUGCGGGUGCUAAUACAUGCAAGUCGAGCGAAUGGAUUAAGAGCUUGCUCUUAUGAAGUUAGCGGCGGACGGGUGAGUAACACGUGGGUAACCUGCCCAUAAGACUGGGAUAACUCCGGGAAACCGGGGCUAAUACCGGAUAACAUUUUGAACCGCAUGGUUCGAAAUUGAAAGGCGGCUUCGGCUGUCACUUAUGGAUGGACCCGCGUCGCAUUAGCUAGUUGGUGAGGUAACGGCUCACCAAGGCAACGAUGCGUAGCCGACCUGAGAGGGUGAUCGGCCACACUGGGACUGAGACACGGCCCAGACUCCUACGGGAGGCAGCAGUAGGGAAUCUUCCGCAAUGGACGAAAGUCUGACGGAGCAACGCCGCGUGAGUGAUGAAGGCUUUCGGGUCGUAAAACUCUGUUGUUAGGGAAGAACAAGUGCUAGUUGAAUAAGCUGGCACCUUGACGGUACCUAACCAGAAAGCCACGGCUAACUACGUGCCAGCAGCCGCGGUAAUACGUAGGUGGCAAGCGUUAUCCGGAAUUAUUGGGCGUAAAGCGCGCGCAGGUGGUUUCUUAAGUCUGAUGUGAAAGCCCACGGCUCAACCGUGGAGGGUCAUUGGAAACUGGGAGACUUGAGUGCAGAAGAGGAAAGUGGAAUUCCAUGUGUAGCGGUGAAAUGCGUAGAGAUAUGGAGGAACACCAGUGGCGAAGGCGACUUUCUGGUCUGUAACUGACACUGAGGCGCGAAAGCUGCCCCU
rnacentral:rRNA from 1 species